AAGUCGUAACAAGGUUUCCGUAGGUGAACCUGCGGAAGGAUCAUUACCGUGGGGCUUCGGCCCCAUUGAGAUAGCACCCUUUGUUUAUGAGUACCCUUGUUUCCUCGGCGGGCUUGUCCGCCAUGAGGACAAUAAAAACCCUUUGUAGUAGCAGUAACUUCAGUUAAUAAUAAAUAUUAAAACUUUCAACAACGGAUCUCUUGGUUCUG
rnacentral:misc_RNA from 1 species